rnacentral:rRNA from 1 species
AGUGGCGGACGGGUGAGUAACGCGUGGGUAACCUGCCUUGUACAGGGGGAUAACAGUUGGAAACGGCUGCUAAUACCGCAUAAGCGCACGGUUCCGCAUGGAACAGUGUGAAAAACUCCGGUGGUGUGAGAUGGACCCGCGUCUGAUUAGCCAGUUGGCGGGGUAACGGCCCACCAAAGCGACGAUCAGUAGCCGGCCUGAGAGGGUGAACGGCCACAUUGGGACUGAGACACGGCCCAA